AUUAGAGUUUGAUCAUGGCUCAGAUUGAGCGCUGGCGGCAUGCUUUACACAUGCAAGUCGAACGAUGAAGCCCAGCUUGCUGGGUGGAAGAGUGGCGAACGGGUGAGUAACACGUGAGUAACCUGCCCUUCACUCUGGGAUAAGCGCUGGAAACGGUGUCUAAUACUGGAUACGACCCUUACAGGCAUCUGUUGGGGGUGGAAAGAUUUAUCGGUGAAGGAUGGGCUCGCGGCCUAUCAGGUAGUUGGUGAGGUAACGGCUCACCAAGCCGACGACGGGUAGCCGGCCUGAGAGGGUGACCGGCCACACUGGGACUGAGACACGGCCCAGACUCCUACGGGAGGCAGCAGUGGGGAAUAUUGCACAAUGGGCGAAAGCCUGAUGCAGCAACGCCGCGUGAGGGAUGACGGCCUUCGGGUUGUAAACCUCUUUUAGUAGGGAAGAAGCGAAAGUGACGGUACCUGCAGAAAAAGCACCGGCUAACUACGUGCCAGCAGCCGCGGUAAUAAU
rnacentral:rRNA from 1 species